UCCUCGGGCAGAGAUUCAUCCACCUGCAAAUUUUCUUCCUCCUGCUCGAGGGCCACAUUUUCCCAGCAAACCAUUUGACAGUGGCGAUAAUAACUCGAAUUUCCCUCCUUUCCAAAAAUUUCACGAGGGUUCUGCACCGGGUUCGAUUCAAGGCUCUCCACAGCCAAUCACUUACCGAUUAAUGUGUUCAAAUGAUAAGGUCGGGAACGUCAUAGGAAAGGGAGGUAGUAUUAUUAAAGGCAUUCAUCACGAAACAGGAUGUGAUAUCAAAGUUCUUGAAACGGUUGAUCCAGAAGACCGUGUUAUAGUUGUAUCUGGUGCUGCGUUCCCAGGUGAUAGGAUUUCUCCAGCACAGGAUGCACUUCUUCGUGUGCAGGAAAGGAUUGUUAUGGCAGGACCUGAUAACAAAGAAAGCACAGUUUCAUCAAGGCUAUUAGUUUCUUCCAAUCAAACUGGCUGCCUUCUUGGUAGAGGUGGAUCCAUAAUCUCAGAAAUGAGAAAGCUCACUGGAGCUCAGAUUCGCGUUUUG
rnacentral:misc_RNA from 1 species